GGCUCGGUAGGCAAUUGGCAGACCACGUUGUUUCAGACACAGCGAUGCUGUGGGUUCGACUCCCACCUGAGCCA
rnacentral:tRNA from 1 species